CUCUCAUUAAGACAAUAGAUCAAAAGUCAUUUUGUCCAGUACAUCCUAGAACACCAUGGAAAAUGCCUCCAUGGAUGAUGAGUCAUCUGUCCCAAAAAUGAGUGCGUUGAUGACACUGAGGAGUGUGACCAUGUAAGGGACAUUAUCUGUGGCCUGCAGCUCGUUCAUGAUCACACUAAAGCGAUACUGCUGUGUCUUCACGCCCUGAAGGAGAAAUCAAAUGGUCCAGGGCAUCCAGAGCCAGGCGAUGGCCAUCUGAAGAAAACAUGCUGAGGGCUGCAAGUAGCUCAAACACCUGCUUCUUCACCAUGGUGUUGGAAGUGUCCAAGGCUGUGGAGCAUCAUGAUCACACACAUCAAUACAGCUGGCUGUGAUGCUGAAUGCAGCCAGUGGUUGGGGCCUCCUCCCACACUCCCCAUCCCAUCAGCUGGACAAGACCUCAGGCUGGCAGCCGCUGCUUAAGGAAAUUCUUCAUGUCAAUUAGUGACUCACAAGAUUCCAGUCACAGUUUCAGAUUAUAGUUCUGAGUUAAUGUGGCUUUAUCUAUAGCUGAAGACCCAAUGCCUAUAACCCUAAAGCAUUUGUAUGGGUCUGACUGCCCUGCAGAGGAUUGUGGGACAUUGGAACAUACUCCAACAAUUUUAUUUUUUUUUAUUAUCAUGUAUUCAUGUUAUCUUUUAUCUCUUAGGAGGGGCAUGGGUCUACACUGUCAUUCCUUCCAUAUCUACUAAAUUCAAAUUUGCCCUUUGAAUGAUUUAGAUCACAACCCAGCAUCCAGAAAUAACCCGCAGACACCUAGAUGUAAUCUUUCCUCUAUGAUUUGUUUACAUCGCUCCAGGGGUAAUGAAUUUAAAAUCGUACACAAAGCACAUUUGACGCACUACAUUACUGAUUAAAAAAAUGGGGGAUAAAGAGGCAUGAGACAACUUGUAGUCUGUACCAACAGAACAUGAAGAUAAUUCAGUCAUUUUUUCAAUGAUCUUGGAAUUUACGGUCAAAAUGUCCCUAAAUUAACAAAAUUUUCCAGGAAAUAAAAACACUUAAAGAAUACAAAGUUAAUGGAAUUCAUAACUGUCUUGAGUGUGUUUGCAUUUUUCCUUAAGGACAGCGAAAAUAAGCAAGUUGGGAUGAAGCAACAGUGAACCUUUUGGUUAUUGUGGCUUUUAAUUAUAUAACGUUUCUGAGCUUGUCUUAACAUGUUGUAUGUUUGGUACAUGCGUUGUUCUGCAAAAUACAAAGGGAUUGUUAAAAUACUUUUUCAUUUAGUAUUUGAAUCAGAACCAAUCAUAGUGACGGAGGCUUUUGUUUGGAUCUUGACUGGAUUUUGUUGAAAAAUUGUGGUACUGUAUAUCAUUCCCCCUGUGACUUAGGGCUA